GGUAUGUAGCUCAGUUGAUAGAGUGCUUGCCUAGCACGCACAAGGCCCUGGGUUUAAUCCUCAGCACCA
rnacentral:tRNA from 1 species